GACGAACGCUGGCGGCGUGCUUAACACAUGCAAGUCGAACGGAAAGGCCCUGCUGGAAGCGUCCUCGAGUGGCGAACGGGUGGAUAACACGUGGGGGGAGUACCCUGCACUUAGGCAUAAGCCUGGGAAACUGUAUCUAAUACCGGCUAGGAGCAAUUUUUCGUGUGAUGGUUGGACAGUUUGUUCGGUGUGGGAUGAGCUCGCGGCCUAUCAGCUUGUUGGUGGGGUAAUGGCCUACCAAGGCGGCGACGGGUAGCCGGCCUGAGAGGGUGGACGGCCACAUUGGGACUGGGAUACGGCCCAGACUCCUACGGGAGGCAGCAGUGGGGAAGAUUGAAAAAUGGGCGCAAGCCUGAUGCAGAGACGCCGCGGGGGGGAUGACGGACUUCGGGUUGGAAACGCCUUGCGCUAGGGACGAAGCUUUUUGUGACGGUACCUAGAUAAGAAGCCCCGGCUAACUACGUG
rnacentral:rRNA from 1 species